GGCAACACCCCAGAGCAGCCACAGAGACAGGACUGAGCACCAGGCUGAGCUCAAAGCCAUCUCCCCGCGGACAUCCAACAGCGUUUUCCGGGACUCUGGAACUGUUGGUCUUCUCGGGUCCCCACGGGGUGCGCUGCUGUCUGGCGCCCCGGAGGAGGUUUUGGUUCAAGAACCUACAGAUGGACGGAGCUUAAAGCCCAGCAUCAAAAGACGGGACUGGGGGUGCGACCCGCCAGCGCGCUCCGCGGCCAGGACGGAGGACUGCGCUCGCUCUUCUGGCUUCCUUCCCACACUCAUUCUCACCACUCCCUUUCACCUUCCACUUCCAGUCCCUCCCACUCCAAGUUGGCUUUUCAGACACUGAGGUCCAGCCUCUCCUUGUGGCCUCCCCUCCCCUCUCAGUUUGGAGCCCCUCCAAGGGCUCCAGAUGAAUAUUCAGAAUUUGCAAUGCUUCCUCACAUCUCUUAUUUAUUUAGUCCAGGUGCCAGAUGUCUUAUCUAUAUUUAUAUAGAUCUUUUAUGUGGCCCCAGCUACUUUGCAGGAAAGUGGGUGGAAAAAGGAUUCCAGGGGUGGGAGCCAGUGGUAGAUGAUCCUAGGAGACAGAGGGGCAGGGUGCCCACUUUCUUGAGCAAGGUUUGUCAUUUUCUAGAGAUGGACUGCUAUGCUUUGUGCUAGUAUCUUGUCUUGACUCUUGCCCACCACCCUGCUUCUUCCUAGCUGUCUUCACCCAGAGGGCUUGGGAGAAGAAUAUCUUUUGCUGCAGCACUGGAAAAUGACUUCAUUACUCAAAUGCAUGAACUUUUAUUUACAAAGAACAUCUUGUUUUCAUCCUAAAGAGGUGCUUUGUAAGGGACCCGGAACAAGGCUUGUAGUGUAUGAGCUUGUCAAAUAUACUGCCCACAAACCCGA